AGUCACCAACCCUCUCUCUACUUGGUCCUUUGCAAUCCUUUCCAGACCUUCUGUGGUCUCCUGUCACACAGGGCUCACUUGGGGGGGACCCUGAUGGCCAGAUUCUCUUGAACAGUCUCUAGGGACGUAUUGGGUAUUGCUAUACCUUCAUCCAUUGAACAGUUUUCCAGUGGCUCCAUAAUAUGUGAUAUCACAACAGAUUGAAUACAGAAACAGAACAAAUGAAGCAUCCAUUAACUUCGAAUGAUCAGAUGCUAGGGAGUGAGGAAUUUUCAGGCCAAAAUGCACUGGGUUAUUGUCUCCUAUUGACAGUGUGAUAUUACAGAUAACCUCUAGGAGAUCCUGAACAUAUUCAGGCUAAACCAGGCAAACAAACAUUCAGGAUGUUACCAGUGUGGAAAACCCCUAGGAGAGACAGCCAAAAUUAAGACUGAUGGAGAAAUUUCCCCCAGCAAUACCACUUAAAAAUAUGCAUUUUUUACUUUA
rnacentral:antisense_RNA from 1 species